GCCCCGGACGGGCGGGGGCCAUAGCAUGUAGCUACCCCAUCCGGUAGUAUAGCCCGGACUAGUAUGCGGGCCUGUCGAGCCCGUGACCCGGGUUCAAAUCCCGGCCGGGGCG
rnacentral:tRNA from 1 species